UACGUAGGUGACCAGCGUUGUCCGGAUUUACUGGGCGUAAAGAGCGCGCAGGCGGUCGUUCAAGUCGAGUGUGAAAGCCCCCGGCUCAACUGGGGAGGGUCACUCGAUACUGAUCGACUUGAAGGCAGGAGAGGGAAGCGGAAUUCCCGGUGUAGUGGUGAAAUGCGUAGAUAUCGGGAGGAACACCAGUGGCGAAGGCGACUUCCUGGCCUGUUCUUGACGCUGAGGCGCGAAAGCUGGGGGAGCAAACGGG
rnacentral:rRNA from 1 species